rnacentral:tmRNA from 1 species
GGGGGCGACAUGGCUUCGACGUGGGAAGUGAAGCAAAGGGAGCAUACCGGGGCGCACAGGGACCUCGUUAAAAAGGUGCAAACUUUAUUUGCUGACAAUAACGUAGCAAUGGCAGCUUAGUUCUGCCACGGAUCCCGGCUGAAUCGAUGGUGUUGAGCUGAAGAUCUGUUAUUAAUGCCAUACCGGUCGAAUGUUGUUCUCUGUAGGGCAUCGACCUAAAUAAACUGCGGGGGUGAUAGUUGGAAUUUUGUUUGUGGAAGUCCGCCUAUCUAACUAAAAACAUAAACUAAGUAUGUAGCGCCUUUUCGUGGAACUCUUGCGGACCCGGGUUCAAUUCCCGGCGCCUCCACCA